CAGUGGUAAGUCACUCUCCCUUCUCUGGCCAUGGCCCAGUCAGGAGAGAAGAGUCACAUCAUCUACAUUCUAAAUCCAGAGAUGUGUUACAAUCUCUCCUAUAGGCAACGGUCAGAUAAGAGAGGAGGGCCAUGCCAGAUAGUUGAUGGGCCCUAAAUGUCACAAUGCCCAGUGUGGGCAGGGUCCAGGCAGAAGUCCCACAUCACCUUGGUGAUUAACCCAACAGUAUGUCGCAAUGCCUUCUGAGGUCAGGGCCAAGGCACAAAAGUGACAUAACCUUGGUGUUUGGUCCAACAAUAUGUCAGAAUCUCUUCUUGAGCAGAACCUAGCAAAAAGAGAAGAGUCACAUCAGCUGGAUGGUGGCCAAGAGAUAUGUCACAAUCCCAUCCGUGGGCUGAGCUAAGGAAGGAGAAUAAAAUCACCCAAGUGUUGAGCAGAGGCAGAUGUUAAAAUCACUCCUGCAGGAAGGCCCAGGGAUGAGAUUAACAAUACUGAACAUGUCCUUGUUUUAGGUAUGAAAGUCAACACCUGUAUUUUGGGUCUAAGUACAUGAGACACAAUGGUGGACAAUCUAUACUGAGAGCCUCAAUUCUUCCUGUAGACAGUGUCUCCUCAGUGGAGUAAAAGCCUCACGGUGUGUUGAAUCUUGGUCUGAGAGUCGCCAACCCACUGGUGGACCGGAUCCACUUACAAGAGUCAAUGUUCAAACUUUCAACUGUCUCCAGCUGUGAGAUUCAGAACCUCAACAGUCACUUUACAACCUUGGAGAGGUCAUUUGACACCUCUGUGCCUCAGUUUCUUCAUCUGCAAAAUGGAGAUGGUGUCCCGGACUUUGCAGCACUAUUUUGAAGGUCAGAGAUAAUGGGUAUCAGCACUGCGCCUGGGACAUGGUAGGAACUAAGUGUGACACUCUAGGCCUCUCCCCAGUCCUCAGGAGCCUCAUCUACUGCUGCAUAUUAAGAUUCCCCACCCACGGCCGGGUGUGGUGGCUCACACCUGUAAUCCCAGCGCUUUGGGAGGCCAAGGUGGGAGGAUCA
rnacentral:lncRNA from 1 species